rnacentral:rRNA from 1 species
UUCCGGUUGAUCCUGCCGGACCUGACUGCUAUCGGAUUGAUACAAAGCCAUGCGAGUCUUUGCAGUAAUGCAAGGCAUACGGCUCAGUAACACGUAGUCAACUUACCCUAUGGACGAGGAUAAUCUCGGGAAACUGAGCAUAAUACUCGAUAGAUCAUAAUGCCUGGAAUGGUUUAUGGUUAAAAUGAUUCGUCGCCAUAGGAUGGGACUGCGGCCUAUCAGCUUGUUGGUGAGGUAAUGGCCCACCAAGGCGAUUACAGGUACGGGCUCUGAGAGGAGAAGCCCGGAGAUGGGUACUGAGACAAGGACCCAGGCCCUAUGGGGCGCAGCAGGCGAGAAAACUUUGCAAUGUGCGAAAGCACGACAAGGUUAAUCCGAGUGAUUUCUGCUAAAGAAUCUUUUGCAAGUCAUAAAACCACUAGUGAAUAAGGGGUGGGCAAGUUCUGGUGUCAGCCGCCGCGGUAAAACCAGCACCUCAAGUGGUCAGGAGGAUUAUUGGGCCUAAAGCAUCCGUAGCCGGCUCUGUAAGUUUUCGGUUAAAUCCAUGUGCUCAACGCAUGGGCUGUCGAAAAUACUGCAUAGCUAGGGAGUGGGAGAGGUAGACGGUACUCGGUAGGAAGGGGUAAAAUCCUUUGAUCUAUUGAUGACCACCUGUGGCGAAGGCGGUCUACCAGAACACGUUCGACGGUGAGGGAUGAAAGCUGGGGGAGCAAACCGGAUUAGAUACCCGGGUAGUCCCAGCUGUAAACGAUGCAGACUCGAUGAUGCAUUGGCAUAUAGCCAGUGCAGUGUCGCAGGGAAAGCCGUUAAGUCUGCCGCCUGGGAAGUACGUACGCAAGUAUGAAACUUAAAGGAAUUGGCGGGGGAGCACC